UACGUAGGGUGCAGGCGUUAAUCGGAAUUACUGGGCGUAAAGCGUGCGCAGGCGGUUUUGUAAGCCAGAUGUGAAAUCCCCGGGCUCAACCUGGGAAUGGCAUUUGGGACUGCAAGGCUGGAGUGCGGCAGAGGAGACUGGAAUCCCUGGUGUAGCAGUGAAAUGCGUAGAUAUCAGGAGGAAUACCGAUGGCGAAGGCAGGUCUCUGGGCUGACACUGACGCUCAUGCACGAAAGCGUGGGGA
rnacentral:rRNA from 1 species